rnacentral:rRNA from 1 species
CCGAAAAACUAAGGGUUCCUCCGCAAGGUUCGUCCUCGGAGGGUGAGUUAGGGCCUAAGAUCAGGCCGAAAGGCAUAGUCGAUGGACAAUAGGUGAAUAUUCCUGUACUACCCCUUGUUGGUCCCGAGGGACGAAGGAGGCUAAGUUAGUAGAAAGAUGGUUAUCGGUUUAAGAACGUAAGGUGUCCCUGCCUUUUUUUAGGGUAAGAAGGGAUAAAGAAAAUGCCUCGAGCCAAUGUUCGAAUACCAGGCGCUACGACACUGAAGUAACCCAUGCCGUACUCCCAGGAAAAGCUCGAACGCCUUUGAGCAAGAGGGUACCUGUACCCAAAACUGAUACAGGUGGGUAGGUAGAGAAUACCUAGGGGUGCGAGACAACUCUCUCUAAGGAACUUGGCAAAAUAGCCCCGUAACUUCGAGAGAAGGGGUGCCUCUUCACAUCACAAAGGGGGUCGCAGUGAACAUGCCCGGGCGACUGUUUACCAAAAACACAGGUCUCUGCAAAGUCGUAAGACCAUGUAUGGGGGCUGACGCCUGCCCAGUAUCGGAAGGUCAAGAAAGUUGGUGACCUGAUGACAGGGGAGCCGAUGUUUGAAACCCCGGUGAACGGCGGCCGUAACUAUAACGGUCCUAAGGUAGCGAAAUUCCUUGUCGGGUAAGUUCUGACCCGCACGAAAGGCAUAACGAUCUGGGCACUAUCUCAGAGAGAUGAUCAGUGAAAUAGACAUGUCUGUGAAGAUGCGGACUACUUGCACCUGGACAGAAAGACCCUAUGAAGCUUCACUGUUCCCUGGGAUUGGCUUUGGGCCUUUCCUGCGCAGCUUAGGUGGAAGGCGAAGAAGGCCUCCUUCCGGGGGGGCCCGAGCUAUCAGUGACAUACCACUCUGGAAGGGCUAGAAUUCUAACCUUGUGUCAGGACCUACGGGCCAAGGGACAGUCUCAGGUAGACAGUUUCUAUGGGGCAUAGGCCUCUUAAAAGGUAACGGAGGUGUGUAAAGGUUCCCUCGGGACGAAUGGAGAUUGGCCCUUGAGUGUAAAGGCAGAAGGGAGCUUGACUGCAAGACCCAUCCAUCGAGCAGGGACGAAAGUCGGCCUUAGUGAUCCAACGGUGUCGAGUGGAAGGGCCAUCGCUCAACGGAUAAAAGUUACUCUAGGGAUAACAGGAUGAUCUUCCCCCAGAGCUCACAUCGACGAGAAGGUUUGGCACCUUGAUGUCGGAUCUUCGCCACCUGGGGCUGUAGUAUGUUCUAAGUGUUGGGCUGUUCGCCCAUUAAAGCGGUAUGUGAGCUGGGUUUAGAACAUCGUGAGAUAGUUCGGUACAUAUCCGGUGUGGGCGUUAGAGCAUUGAGAGGACCUUUCCCUAG